GCCUUCGUGGUGCAACGGUAGCACGCAGGGCUGGCAUUCCAGAGGUCCGUGGUUCGAUUCCGGGCGAAGGCG